rnacentral:lncRNA from 1 species
GUUUGGUGUUAUGGUGGCUCUCGGUAGAGCUGCGGUGAGGGCCCCCAUCCCCCGGGCAGCGGUGGUGCACGCCGUGCCUCCUCGUCCCCCAAGGGCUAUAGGCCCGACCGCUCGAGGUGGCAGUUGAGGGAGAUGAAGGAGAGCUGGCCUCGCUCCUCCCGUCCCCGCAGGCCCUUAUGGAGGCGGAUGGCGGUACCGCGCCCGGCCGGGAGUGCGCAGGCAGCGCUGGAACGGCCCUGCGGUCCGUCCUGAGAUCGACUGCUGAGGAGUACUGCUUUAAUGCUUGUUUGGUGUCUAUUCCCCCAGCGGAACGAUGCCCUGAAGCAAAGAGUAAGUUAUCUUCACGUUCUGCAAAGGUGUUAAGAACGUUCUAGAUCUUUCCUUGUAUACUAGUGAUGUAAAGUAGCUAAGUGCAGGGCUGUUAACUGAAAAUAACCUGUAAUAAUUAUAUCUUAGUUAAGCAAAUAAAGCUAUUAAAAGCAAAUGUUAUCUCCUGUUAACAGUUAAUACUUCUUAUCAAC